rnacentral:lncRNA from 1 species
UUGCCGUGCCGUAGUUGCUGACGCAAACCUUUAGAAAUUACUACUCCUUCUCCACCUCCUCGACCGUGGAUUCCUUUGGCAAGGCCAUCAACAAAUAGACCAACAUGUAUCUUCACUGUGAUGUGUUACAAUGUUCUUUGUGAUAAAUAUGCCACUAGGCAAAUGUACAGUUACUGCCCUAGUUGGGCCCUCAACUGGGACUAUAGGAAAAAA